rnacentral:rRNA from 1 species
CAACAGGGAUUGCCCCAGUAACGGCGAGUGAAGCGGCAACAGCUCAAAUUUGAAAUCUGGCUCUCGGGCCCGAGUUGUAAUUUGUAGAGGAUGCUUUUGGUGCGGUGCCUUCCGAGUUCCCUGGAACGGGACGCCAUAGAGGGUGAGAGCCCCGUCUGGUCGGACACCAAACCUCUGUAAAGCUCCUUCGACGAGUCGAGUAGUUUGGGAAUGCUGCUCUAAAUGGGAGGUAUAUGUCUUCUAAAGCUAAAUACUGGCCAGAGACCGAUAGCGCACAAGUAGAGUGAUCGAAAGAUGAAAAGAACUUUGAAAAGAGAGUUAAAAAGUACGUGAAAUUGUUGAAAGGGAAGCGCUUGUGACCAGACUUGGCUCGGUUGAUCAUCCAGGGUUCUCCCUGGUGCACUCCUCCAGCCUAGGCCAGCAUCAGUUCGCCGCGGGGGAAAAAGGUGGCGGGAAUGUGGCUCCCUCCGGGGAGUGUUAUAGCCCGCUGCGUAAUACUCUGGGGCGGACUGAGGUUCGCGCAUUCGCAAGGAU